UACGAAGGGGGCUAGCGUUGCUCGGAAUCACUGGGCGUAAAGCGCACGUAGGCGGACUCUUAAGUCGGUGGUGAAAUCCUGGAGCUCAACUCCAGAACUGCCUUCGAUACUGAAGAUCUCGAGACCGGAAGAGGUAAGUGGAACUGCGAGUGUAGAGGUGAAAUUCGUAGAUAUUCGCAAGAACACCAGUGGCGAAGGCG
rnacentral:rRNA from 1 species